rnacentral:rRNA from 1 species
ACCGUUAUAACCGGCGAUUUCCGAAUGGGGAAACCCAGUGUGUUUCGACACACUAUCAUUAACUGAAUCCAUAGGUUAAUGAGGCGAACCGGGGGAACUGAAACAUCUAAGUACCCCGAGGAAAAGAAAUCAACCGAGAUUCCCCCAGUAGCGGCGAGCGAACGGGGAGGAGCCCAGAGCCUGAAUCAGUGUGUGUGUUAGUGGAAGCGUCUGGAAAGGCGCGCGAUACAGGGUGACAGCCCCGUACACAAAAAUGCACAUGCUGUGAGCUCGAUGAGUAGGGCGGGACACGUGGUAUCCUGUCUGAAUAUGGGGGGACCAUCCUCCAAGGCUAAAUACUCCUGACUGACCGAUAGUGAACCAGUACCGUGAGGGAAAGGCGAAAAGAACCCCGGCGAGGGGAGUGAAAAAGAACCUGAAACCGUGUACGUACAAGCAGUGGGAGCCUCUUAAUGGGGUGACUGCGUACCUUUUGUAUAAUGGGUCAGCGACUUAUAUUCUGUAGCAAGGUUAACCGAAUAGGGGAGCCGAAGGGAAACCGAGUCUUAACUGGGCGUUAAGUUGCAGGGUAUAGACCCGAAACCCGGUGAUCUAGCCAUGGGCAGGUUGAAGGUUGGGUAACACUAACUGGAGGACCGAACCGACUAAUGUUGAAAAAUUAGCGGAUGACUUGUGGCUGGGGGUGAAAGGCCAAUCAAACCGGGAGAUAGCUGGUUCUCCCCGAAAGCUAUUUAGGUAGCGCCUCGUGAAUUCAUCUCCGGGGGUAGAGCACUGUUUCGGCAAGGGGGUCAUCCCGACUUACCAACCCGAUGCAAACUGCGAAUACCGGAGAAUGUUAUCACGGGAGACACACGGCGGGUGCUAACGUCCGUCGUGAAGAGGGAAACAACCCAGACCGCCAGCUAAGGUCCCAAAGUCAUGGUUAAGUGGGAAACGAUGUGGGAAGGCCCAGACAGCCAGGAUGUUGGCUUAGAAGCAGCCAUCAUUUAAAGAAAGCGUAAUAGCUCACUGGUCGAGUCGGCCUGCGCGGAAGAUGUAACGGGGCUAAACCAUG